rnacentral:misc_RNA from 1 species
UACGAAAAAAAAAAAACGCCGGUUAUGCGCCAUUUUCUUCCGGGAAUUCACCGGGAAGAGAUUCAUUCAUUCGUAGUGCGACUGAUCUCCGACGAUUACGGAGCGGGCAAUGUCGGAUUUGUGUAGCAGAUGUUCCUUUUUUAAUUCCACAUUUGGUGACGUAUCUGCUGGCUGAAAAUUGAAACUUGAAAGGCCAUGAUGGCGGGACACGCCGGCGUGUUCGAUUUGGAGUUAUGUGAGCAUGAUGAGAAGGGCAACGAGCUCCUGAGUGACAGCGAUGACAUGCACGAAGAGGGUGCGGAGGGUGACAGCUAUCUCAGUGUUGGGUCUGAAGGAGCUUAUGAGUCAAUUGAAGUUGAAGAGGUAUCUCUUUCAGAGGAGACUGUGAAUCCAGGAAGAGAGAAAGUUGGACCAGAAGAUUUCCAGCUUCUUAAAGUACUAGGGAAGGGAGGCUACGGCAAGGUUUUCCAGGUUCGGAAAACGACGGGUAAAGACUCAGGGAAAAUAUUUGCAAUGAAAGUUUUAAAGAAGGCAAAGAUUGUGAGGAACCAGAAGGAUACGGCUCACACCAAGGCUGAGCGUAACAUUCUUGAGGCUGUGCAGCAUCCAUUUAUUGUUAACCUUCACUAUGCCUUCCAGACGGGCGGAAAGUUGUACCUCAUCCUAGCCUAUCUCAGUGGAGGAGAAUUAUUUAUGCAUCUAGAGAGAGAAGGAAUAUUUAUGGAAGAUACAGCAUGUUUUUAUCUAUCAGAGAUAGUUUUAGCAUUAGAGCAUCUACACAAACUAGGUAUCAUCUACAGAGAUUUAAAACCAGAGAAUAUUAUGCUUAAUAAACAAGGUCAUGUUGUGUUAACAGACUUUGGUCUGUGUAAGGAAUCUUUAGAAGAAGGGUCUAUGACACAUACCUUCUGUGGCACAAUAGAAUAUAUGGCUCCUGAGAUUGUAAGUCGGAGUGGACAUGGUAAAGACGUCGACUGGUGGAGUCUAGGGGCACUUAUGUAUGACAUGCUCACUGGAGGACCUCCAUUCACAGCAGAGAACAGAAAGAAAACCAUUGAGAAAAUUCUAAAAGGAAAACUCAAUCUACCUCCUUACCUCACACAUGAAGCCAGAGAUCUUGUUAGAAAGUUACUGAAGAGGCAUGUUUCGUCAAGGCUAGGCAGCGGUGUAGACGAUGCAACCAGAAUCAAAACACAUUUUUUCUUCAGAAAUGUCAGAUGGGAUGAUAUCCUAGCAAGGAAGGCAGAACCUCCUAUUACUCCUGCUGUGGUAAAUGAGGAAGAUGUGAGUCAAUUUGACUCCAAGUUUACCAAGCAGACACCAGUAGAUAGUCCCGAUGAUUCUAUGCUUAGUGAAAGUGCCAAUCAGAUCUUCCUAGGUUUCACCUAUGUAGCGCCCUCUGUGUUGGAGAGCAUGCAUCAGAAAGUCCAUCAUUUUACCAAAGUGCGGUCACCUCGUAAGAUUCCUGGGAGUAUAAGUCCUAGGUCUGCAAUCAGUCCUGCCAAGACACCUCAGACUCAAUUUGCCUUUGAUGAAGAUCUAUUGUCCAAGCCUUCUUCCAGCCACACUGCUGCUUCAGCUCAUCACAUCCAACCGAUAGAGGAAGCCAUGGACACCAGUGAUGCUUCUAACGCUACCGCAACGGCAACAUCAGGAUAUAGAUGAGGAGGAGUUGGGUAGAUAGGGAAAUUAGCUAGUGUAUAUCAUGAUUAGAUAGGCAGAAAUAAACUUUGAUCAAGGUUUGGACUGUGCCUUUUGGACGAUGAUCACCCAUGCAGAUCCUACGGUCAGUUGCCACUUGGGCUGCACGCAUCGUGUCUACUUCUAUUUGGUCUCAUCCUACGUAUACUAAUUCUGGUUUGUCUACAAAGAGUUCUUAUCAUAACCAUUUAACCUAAUUGCCACUUAGUGCAUGUAUCAUUUUAUCCAGUUUUCCAUUGAAACUAUACCAAUUUUGUCUAAUAUCCACUUGGUCCAACACUACUUAAUCAAUAAUGAUUAUAUGAGCUGUUAAAUAUUUGUAUGAUUAAGUAUGAAAAAUUGAAUAGAUGAAGUGGAAAUCAGACAAUCUGGGUCUUUGUCCAAGUGAAUUUAAAAUAAGUGAUGAUUGGACCAAGUGGCAAUUGGAUCAGAUUAAUACUAGACCAAGUGGGUUAAAACAUGAUAGCAUUAGACCGUCUGAUAAUGAGGCCAUCUGAUAAUAGACAAAGUGAUUACAAAGAGAAUGCUACAAACAAUAGCGUCGGCAUAACGUCAAGCAUAAAUUGGGCAGCCCUGCUUAUCAAAAUGUUUUCUGCUAUACUAAAUACACUUUUGUUAUGUGCCAUUAGGUCAAUUCUGGAUGAUUUUCCUCCUGUUUGUAUUAAUCCUACGUGGCAUCCCUUCUAAUGAAGCGAUCACCAACCGUUCACCAGUUGAUUCCUGCAUUGUGUCAUUCCUGUAGACUUUGGGAUUACCUGAUUCCAGGUAGCAAAAAAAAAUUGCCAAUCUGCGAGAAUGGGAAGUUAUUGAAUACGCAAGUUAUGAUUAGAACAAUGAUUAGAACAUCUCGGUUAUGACCGACUGUGCAGGAGGAUUCAAUUCAAAGACAAUCUAUACGCCACUCCAUAAAUCAGUGCCAGAAAUUGAUUAUCAAUGAUUAUGCUGAGGAUGGUUAAGAUGAUGAAGACCUGGAAACAGUCGUUGAUGCUUAUCCACUCAUUCAUUUCAUCUCUUGAUAAAAUAUUUCUCUUAAAAGUAUGUUCUUAGAUAUCAAGUAUUUGGUGGUGUACUUGAAACGGUUAAUUUUAUACACCAUCAGACAUAUUACCCUGUUACAUGAGCUGCUGUGAUGCAUAGAUUGUUAGUUCAGAGUUGGUCUUGCAAUAUAUUUUAAGUAUUUGAAAUGUCAUCAAGUAUGAUAAUUUAUGGCUUGUUGGAUAGUUUUGAGAUAGGGGUGCAAUUACUGAGGGAGAUUCAAGAAAUGGGCGAUAGCAUUUGUAAUAACACUAAAUCAUACUGUUGAAAACAGGUAAAAUGAAAGGAGGCAAAAUAUUUUACUGUUGUAUGCUCUCUGUAGAGUCUGCACUAUUCAUAAUCCUCUCCCUGUAUGAUUGGUAUGCUAUUUUUCAUUUCUUUUUAAAUUAAUUGGAGAAUAUGAAAAAAAAAAUUAUAUGCCCAAAUAAUUAAACUUGCAAUGAAGGCAAGCAUAAUGUCUGAGCAAGCUAAUCUUCUUCAAUUGAUGUGAUAUUGCUAAAUGCUUUCUCUAAGGCCUUGAUAAAGAACAUCUCAUUUGGAAUAGCAGAAAAAAAAAAUUUGUCAAAGGAGGUGAUAAAACCUGUAGUUAAUUGUAUCGCUAAGCUUUGUGUUACAGGAUCAGAUAAUUGCGAUGCCUCUGCAAUGAAUGCUCCAGUCGAGCCCGUACAUGACUGCUUCUCGUCGUUGCAUAACCCAUUUCAGUCAAAUACUUUGAAGUCUCCUCUCUUUUGUUGUUUUAUUUCUGUGUGCUCUUUUUUAAUCCAUUGGUUUAAUUUUUGUCAAUGGCUAUAUUAAAAAGUGUAGUGGUUUCCUGGUACACCAUGUAACCAAGAACACUUGUCUUCUUUGCCAUGGAAACCUUCAGAAGUUAUAUUCAAGUGAACACUUAUCAUACUACAAUUGCAGUUUUUCUAUGGCAUAGUCUGAACGCAUUUGUGUUCCGCCAAAUUUUUAUGUCUGAAAGAAAUAUUUGAGUUUAAAUUGCAAAAGUAAAAGACUGAAGAAAGUGCGUUUCAUUAAUUGUUCCGCAAAUAAGCUGUAAAUGUAAAGCAGUUUUAUGGAUAUAUGCUCCAUUUUGGUGGCAUAUAUGAAUGAAAGUCAGUUAGAUUUUAUGAUAACCUUUGCCUCCUUUGCUUUGAUUUUUACCAAUAUGACCCUUGACAAAAUGCAGCAAUAUUACUGUAAUAUUGUGAUAAGCGCCAAAAUUUUGCAGGGGAUCUUGCGGAUGUUUUGCACCGUCACUCAAAGUGUAUGACUAUGUUAUAUUCUUACGCAAAAGUCUUUGAUGUUUGAUGAUGAAUAUUGCUCUGCCUUUUGUACAGGAGAGAUGCAUAGGCUGUAUUGUAAUUAAGCAUCCUAGUUGAGGCCUGUUCAUGUAAUGCCCUGGUAAAAUACCACGAUAUUGCAUUAUUUUGAGGCGUAUAUGAACAGGGGUUUCGGAAAGUUCUUACUGAUGUGUGUUGAUAAUAUUUGUACUUGUAGAUGAUGGACACGAUAGAAGACUACUUUGAUAUUGCAGUUUGAGUGUACAGUGUAGUUAAAUAUAUUUAUGCUUCCUAUUGUACACUUCUGGGGGGUGUUUCACAAAGAUUUAAGUAUGACUUAGAGUCACGCUUAAAUGUCUGUUUGCGUGCGGUAUGAAAGCCAUGACUGCAUUGGUCAGAUCAUGCGAAUAGGACACGCACUACCGCGUAUUGAUCAAUAAGAUUGUGCGUUACAUAUCUUGUACGUGUCGGCAUUUAAGUGCAACUUAAGUCAUACUUAAAUCUUUGUGGAAACCCUCCCCCCACUGGUUGUAUGAAUUUCAUUUGAAAGAGAGACAUGACACAUCAUUUUAAAUGCAGUGAAAAUGAAGCGAAUUCUGGUGGGUGUUUAAUAAAGUUGUUUGUAACUUACAAGCAACUGGUUACCAUUUCUAAGGUACUGAAUCAACACAAAUAAAAGUCUAGGGCCUCGUUUCAUGAAACUUGUUACAAUGAAACUUGUUACAAUAACAAAGUUGUGAUAACAGUUAAAGGCUACUAAAAUCCUCCAAACUGAUUGGCUAAUUGAAAAUUUGAUAUAGAAACUGUUCAUUUGUUACUAUAACAAGUCUUUAUGAAACAGAAACCUGGGGGUGUUUCACAGAGAUUUAAGUAUGACUUUAGUCGCACGUAAAUGCCGAUGCAUACGUGAUAUGCACCACGCAAUCUUAUUGAUCAAUACGCAUUAGUGUUCCUCUUGGCAUGAUCUGACCAAUGCGGUCGUGCCUUUUAUAACGUGCGCAACUAGACAUCUAAGUGCGACUCUAAGUCAUGCUUAAAUCUUUGUGAACCCCCCCCCAGGUGUAAAUAAUUUAUCACACGAAAGGGUCACCAGUCAUUUGUAAAGUUGCUCGCAACACAAAAAUAGGUUAAUGAAACACCCACCUGAUUGCCCUGCCAAACAAAUACUGAUAUUGUAUUUUUAGCAGUGGAUUGAUUGUGGAGAGAAUUUAUCUUAUCUUAAUAUUCAAAAUGACAUUUUUUUUAUAAUACUUUGUAUACCCCUACCACUCCUACCUACCUUCUUUCUAUUAUAUUCUUUGUUUCCCAUUCAUAAUAAUCUUUGUUUCCCAUAUAUAAUAUUCUUUGUUUCCCAUACAUAAUAUUCUUUUCCCUCUCUUUCUCUUUGUUUCUCUUUUCUCUUUCUUUGAGUAAUCAUUGUUUCAUCUUCAACUUUAUUUUUUUUCUGUCUCUAUCAUCUUUCCCAAAUAUAUCUCUCAUGGACUAUUUUCAAGCUGUAGUAUCUCCAAAGGUAGCGUCAAACAUCUUAAUAGAAUGUUGAGACAUUAAACAGAUCUGAAAUUAGUAGCUAGUAAUUUUCAAGCAUGUACUCAAUAUUGCUCAAACUGUAGCAUGACAUUGACAUGAAUAAUGUAAAUCUAUGCAUAACUUUCAUAAAUAUAUUAAAAACUAAGUUAUAUUUAAAUUAUUCUGUGACGUAUUGAAUGCAUUGUAGAAAAUUGAGAGCUGUGAGUGAUUUGAUAAUUCACAAGCGUUGAAGUCAGGUAUGCUAAUUAUGAAAUUAUACAGUGAUAUUUUACCAUUCUGAGACAUUGAUACAUGUAUAUAUAUAAACAUUCAUUCACAAUUAUACAUACACAUGCACACACAUACCCUUAAAUUCCUUCCCAAGAUCUAGUUGAUUUGAAUGAAGAUAAGUACAAUAAAACAAAACCAAAUGGUAAAAAUUGCAUAGGAAGGUGAUGAAACACAACAUGCCAGACAUAUUUUUUAAUGUGUUGGGUACUACAUUGCUAUUGUAAUGGCAUAUUAUGGUAAUAAUUCAGGGGUAAAUCUUGUACAGCAAACUACUUCUUCAGUUUUGACCCAAUGCCUGAGAGACGUGGUGUACACAUUGGUCUUUGAGUGAGCUUGUCAGAAAAAUGUGUUUCUAUGGCUAUGACAUGGUGUUGCCAUGGAAAUUAUAUGACAUCAGGAUAUAUCUUCUUCAUGUGUGUAGUCGUUAUUACAGGGCAAUGAAUUAACCACCUUCAUUGAUAUUUCUAGUUUUAUUAAACAAAUCAACUUGAUCUUGAGAUGGAUCUUAAAUGCCAUACAAAAUGAACAUCCACAGUGUGUGAAAUGAGAAAUACAUGUAUGUUCUUUAAUUAAAGAUGUGAUUUAUUAUUAGCGUAUACUUGGAUUAAUUGUACACAGUUUUACUUUCUUCUAUGUUAUAUUAUAUUGUAGUAGCAGUUGAGGGAAUCUAUUUUUGUCAUAUUUUAGUUUAUUUGUAUAAAGAAAAGUUAGCAAUUGUGUCCAGGUUUUGUAUGCUGAAGCAAUCUAUUGACAAUUGGUGAUUUAAAAGUAGGUGUGGACAGCUGGUGUUUAGCUGAUUUUUACACCAGAACCAAACUUGAUGAAAGAUUUGGGCUGAGGCUGAUCUCACAAGGUGUUGAGUUCUCUUUAAUUGAUUUGAUGUGUUGGAGCUAGAUUAGGCAGCCUGAUUGAUUUUCUCUACACCUACACCAACACCAAACCCAUAUGAGGUGUUGGAGCUAGAUUAGGCAGCCUGAUUGAUUUUCUCUACACCUACACCAACACCAAACCCAUAUGAGGUGUUGGAGCUAGAUCAGGCAGCCUGAUUUAUUUUCUCUACAUCAACACGAAACCCAUGUGAGGUGUUGGAGCUACAUUAGGUAUCCUGAUUGAUUUUUCUUUUCACAACACCAAACCCAAAUGAGGUGUUGGAGUUAGAUUAGGCAGCCUGAUUGAUUUUCUUUUCACCAACACCAAACCCAUAUAAGGUGUUAGAGCUAGAUUAGGCAGCCUGAUUGAUUUUCUCUACACCUACACCAAUACCUAACCCGUAUGAGGUGUUUUCCUCGAUUUUGAUUGGCUGAGAAGCAGUGUUACUGUGGUAACUUUCGAAUCAAAUGGAAUUUGCGAGAAAUACUUCUGACAAGUCCAACACCUUGAGGACUAAGCUCAACCCAAAUACAGUUUUAACUCUGUUAAAUGUGGUCUAUCAUAUAAAAACAUCUUAUUGUUUAGGUUUACCUUUGUAAAAUUUUUUGUUUAAUCCAAGAAUGUGCAUUCUAUCAUAUUGAACAAGUUUCCAAGGUUAUAUAUGCAGUAUGGCAUUCGUUCGGAGUGUACAAUGUAACAAAAACAUGGAAAUAUGGUAAUAUUAAUCUACAUUGACAGCCCAAUAGACAAUAUUGGAUACAUGAUCACAUCUCACAAUAGUGCAAAAAAUAUAUACAUAUUUUUUAAUUUGUAGGUUUUGUGUGUUUCAAGUGACGGAGUCAACAAAAGUUACGAGGCUGCUUGGGAAAGUUUUCUCCCAAAGUCUUUGUACAAGUGAUUGUCCAGAGGCCGAGGCUGGCAAAAGACGGCCUUGAUGCCGGCCUUAAUAGAAAACAAACCCACAUCUAUGUAGAUGUGCUUGUGUUACGAUGGUGAGACAUAACAUGAAAUAUGAUAGGAUUU